rnacentral:lncRNA from 1 species
CAGACUCCCUCUCCACUUUAAUUAGAAAUAGUUGCAAUAGGCUAGAUUUGAGGGUGCCGUUUUAUUGCUAUGCAUAGGUUCUGAAUAGCCACAGUAGUGAAUACAUUGCACAAUAUUUUCCAGAGAGUAAUUAGCGUGUACUGUGGUUUCCUUUUCUGGCUGUCUCCAUUUCACAGUGACUGGAGGCCGAAGAAACACAUUAUCCAGAAUGCUUGCCAGCAGCUUUCUGGUUUAGAAUCUACCAGGCAGAGGCCAAAAGCUCUGAAAGGUCAAAGACAAGAAGAAACGGUUAUUCUCUGUCCAGGGAGUGAAUCCUUGUGGGUUUCAACAGAUUGUGACUCGUUUGUAACCAAAAACCGUGGGAAUUAUUCUCUUGCUGCUUUGGUGAUCAAAGAACAUGGAGGGAAGAUUUCCUGGAUGCCGGAACAAUACUAGGCUUCUCACCGCAGCCCAUGAAGCUAAGACAGGGCACUGGCAUUGGCUACGUUGACAGCUAAGAUCGAUGGAGCAUGUAUUGGCUAGUCAUCGCAUUAUGCAUUUCAUGAGCGAUAUUGGAGACUGACAUCUUUCUGUUUCAGUAUCUUGAUGGAUCAGAAGACUAAAAGUCAUCAGGGUUAAAGCAGGAGUUAAGAUUGACAUAACUUUGAGAAACUAGGAAUCUGCAGUGGUUUAGUAUACCGGUGCCCUGAAGUUCUGAACAAAUCUUUCUCAAGGGUGAAGUUACGUGGAUGAAUGGUAACAAAUCCAUACAGGGAAGCAAGUGAUUAAGGCCAGUGUUUGAGGGCACACCACAGAAUCGUUAAUCAUAGGCACCAUGAUAUGCAGAAACUCUAAUUUUGAUAUUGCCAGAGCCUGAAAGUUCUUAAGAAAAGGAAUCAAUUCUUGAUCUUACAGCACAAGCCAUUGCUCUUCUAUUCAGGAAUUUUUCCCCUGUACCCAUAUCUUCGAGGGUUUUCCCUUCUUUCUCCUCUAUAAGUUUCAGUGUCUCUGGUUUUAUGUGGAGUUCCUUAAUCCAUUUAGAUUUGACCUUAGUACAAGGAGAUAGGAAUGGAUCAACUCGCAUUCUUCUACAUGAUAACCGCCAGUUGUGCCAGCACCAAAGAGAGGCCCAUUGGACUUGCAAACUUUAUAUGCCCCAG